GAUGAACGCUGGCGGCGUGCCUAAUACAUGCAAGUCGAGCGAACGGACGAGAAGCUUGCUUCUCUGAUGUUAGCGGCGGACGGGUGAGUAACACGUGGAUAACCUACCUAUAAGACUGGGAUAACUUCGGGAAACCGGAGCUAAUACCGGAUAAUAUUUUGAACCGCAUGGUUCAAAAGUGAAAGACGGUCUUGCUGUCACUUAUAGAUGGAUCCGCGCUGCAUUAGCUAGUUGGUAAGGUAACGGCUUACCAAGGCAACGAUGCAUAGCCGACCUGAGAGAGUGAUGGGCCACACGGGACCUGAGACACGGUCCAGACUCCUACGGGAGGCAGCAGGAGGGAAUCUUCCGCAAUGGGCGAAGGCCUGACGGAGCAACGCCGCGUGAGUGAUGAAGGUCUUCGGAUCGUAAAACUCUGUUAUUAGGGAAGAACAUAUGUGUAAGUAACUGUGCACAUCUUGACGGUACCUAAUCAGAAAGCCACGGCUAACUACGUG
rnacentral:rRNA from 1 species